CCGACUACAUGAAGCUGGAAUCGCUAGUAAUCGCGGAUCAGAAUGCCGCGGUGAAUACGUUCCCGGGUCUUGUACACACCGCCCGUCACACCAUGGGAGUCGGAAAUGCCCGAAGUCUGUGACCCAACCAUUAAGGAGGGAGCAGCCGAAGGCAGGUCGGAUGACUGGGGUGAAGUCGUAACAAGGUACC
rnacentral:rRNA from 1 species